UCCUGGUGCAGAAUUCCUACAGUUUACACACUGUAGCUGAAAACUGGGCUAAGUUAUCUUCUCUCAAAAAGGGUAUCCAAGAUUUUGGAACGGAAUGGAUUAUUAGAAAUCCACCGAUAAAUAACAUUCAUCACACAACUUGCUGUGUGCCCUUGUCAAGUUUCUCUACUUUUCUGAACCUCCACUUCUUGGUCUGCCACAGGGGAAGCCAGUCUUGAUCUAUGGUUUCCUCAACCUCUGCUUCAGAGUCCACAGGGGAGGGCAAGGCAGGGUCCUAUGAAGAACUCUGGCCUCCUGCUCCCCUCACCCACCAACCCAAAGCAGCCUUCUAUUACUGAUCCUAUGUAUUAGUUCUGCGGAGUUUUCCUCUUUUUUUUUCUUUCUCUUUUUUUAAUUUUAAUUUUUUAAGCCUAUUAUUAUUUUUUUCUACAUUUAUUCCUUUGUUUGCCUUUCCUACUGUUCUUUUCUCCUUGCAGUUUAUCUUUAACAUAUAUAAAUCUCCUUUGUCUACCUCUAUUUAACUCUGCAUAUCUAUUCUUUCUUUCCUUUCUCUCCUUUCCUCUCAACAUAUUUGUUAGCUUAGCUUUAUUUUCAUUGCUUUAUUCCCCAGUUGGCACCUUGAUUUAGUUUUGCUUUCCAGUUUGCGCUUUAAUUAGUUUUAUUCUGGUAGAUAUAAUUUUUCUAGUUUCCUUUGUUCGCCAGGUCAAUCUAUUGUACGUAAUUUUUGUUGGACUGUUUUGAUUUUGCUUAGGAGUGUAUAUGUAUAUGUGUAUAUUCAGUAAUACUUUCUACUGUUGUUAUAAACCUCUGCCUCUACAUUGGGCUUUGCAGUUCUGUGGAGUUUUCCUUUUUUCCCCACUUUUUUCUUUCUUCUUCUGUUUUUUUCUCUUUUUGUAUUUUUAAUUUUUUAAACCUAUCGUACUUUUUCUAUACUUAUUCUUUUGUUUGCCUUUCCUACUGUUCUUUUCCCCUUGCAGUUAAUCUUUAAUGUAUAUAAAUCUUCUUCAUCUACCUCUAUUUAACUUUCCAUAUCUAUUCUUUCUUUUCUUUUCUUUCCUUUCCUCUCAACAUAUUUGUUAGUUAUGUUUUCAUUGCUCUUCUCCCCACUUGGCACCUCGCCUUAUUUUUCCAGUUUGUGCUUAAGUUAGUUUUGUACUUAACUGGUAAAUACAACUUUUUAUUUCCUUUGUUUGCUGGAUCAAUCUACUGUACUUUAUUUUUGUUGGAGUGUUUUCACUUUGCUCAUGGGUGUAUAUGUAUAUGUGUAUAUUCCAUUAUUUUAAUUAUUAUUUGCCUGAUUUGGUAACUGCCAUUGGCCUGGGGGUUCAUCUUUGGUUUCUCGUUUUUAGAUAUUUGUUUUACUCUCCCUCAAUGCCAUAACAAACCACUUGUGGAAUCUUCAUUCCUGACCAGAGAUCAACCCCUGAGCCUUUGGAGUGGGAGCACUGACUCCGAGACCCUAGACUGCCAGAGAACUAACCCUAGGGGGUAUCAAAUAGUGAGAACUCACACAAAGGAAACCACUUGAAUACAAGACCUGGCAUCACCCAACCACCAGUAGCACCCUGUGCAGGAUGCCUCAUCUAAACAACAAACAAAACAAAAAUAUAAACUCAAUCAUCAGCAGACAGAAUUACCACCUCACUCAGCUUUGCCCAUCGGAGGGAAAACAAACAAACAAACAAACAAAGGCUCAGCAUAAUCUCACCCUAUACUAAGCCCACACAAACCACUAGACCAACCUUAGGAGGGCAGAAACCAAAAGGAAGAAAGAAUUCAACCUUCAAGGAAAGAAUU
ensembl:lncRNA